CCCGUACACCAAAAUGCACAGGCUGUGAACUCGAAGAGUAGGGCGGGACACGUGGUAUCCUGUCUGAAUAUGGGGGGACCAUCCUCCAAGGCUAAAUACUCCUGACUGACCGAUAGUGAACCAGUACCGUGAGGGAAAGGCGAAAAGAACCCCGGCGAGGGGAGUGAAAAAGAACCUGAAACCGUGUACGUACAAGCAGUGGGAGCACCUUCGGGUGUGACUGCGUACCUUUUGUAUAAUGGGUCAGCGACUUAUAUUCUGUAGCAAGGUUAACCGUAUAGGGGAGCCGCAGGGAAACCGAGUCUUAACUGGGCGUUAAGUUGCAGGGUAUAGACCCGAAACCCGGUGAUCUAGCCAUGGGCAGGUUGAAGGUUGGGUAACACUAACUGGAGGACCGAACCGACUAAUGUUGAAAAAUUAGCGGAUGACUUGUGGCUGGGGGUGAAAGGCCAAUCAAACCGGGAGAUAGCUGGUUCUCCCCGAAAGCUAUUUAGGUAGCGCCUCGUGAACUCAUCUUCGGGGGUAAA
rnacentral:rRNA from 1 species